CCCUUAGAUGUUCUGGGCCGCACGCGUGCUACACUGAGUGGAUCAGCGGGUCAGGUUGCGCGAAAGCGUUUCCUAAUCUUUAAAUCCGCUCGUGAUGGGGAUUGACGGUUGCAAUUUUCUGUCAUGAACGAGGAAUACCUUGUAAGCGCGGGUCAUCAUCCCGCGCUGAAUACGUCCCUGCCCUUUGUACACACCGCCCGUCGCUCCUACCGAUUGAGUGGUCCGGUGAGGCUUUGGGAUCUGAGCGGAAAGAGCGUUUCGCUGUUUCUGCUCGGCAAACUCAGUCGAACCUUAUCAUUUAGAGGAAGGAGAAGUCGUAACA
rnacentral:rRNA from 1 species